rnacentral:rRNA from 1 species
UACGAAGGGGGCUAGCGUUGCUCGGAAUCACUGGGCGUAAAGGGUGCGUAGGCGGGUUUUUAAGUCAGGGGUGAAAUCCUGGAGCUCAACUCCAGAACUGCCUUUGAUACUGAAGAUCUUGAGUCCGGGAGAGGUGAGUGGAACUGCGAGUGUAGAGGUGAAAUUCGUAGAUAUUCGCAAGAACACCAGUGGCGAAGGCGGCUCACUGGCCCGGUACUGACGCUUGAGGCACGAAAAGCGUGGGGAGCAAACAGG